rnacentral:rRNA from 1 species
GUCUCUUUGAUUCUUCAUAUAAAGAGUCUGACCUGCCCAGUGAUUGAAUAUUUAACGGCCGCAGUACCCUGACUGUGCAAAGGUAGCAUAAUAAUUUGCCUUAUAAUUGAUGGCUAGUAUGAAAGGUUUGACGAAAGCAUUUCUGUCUCAAACAUACUUUUUAUAAUUUAUUCUUUAGGUUUAAAAACUUAAAUAAAAUCAAAGGACGAGAAGACCCUAUCGAGCUUUAAAAAAAAUUAAGAAAAAAUAUAUUAAUAAGAAUUUUUUUCUUAAAAAAAUUUUUGGUUGGGGCGACCGAGGAACAAAAAAAGCUUCCUCAGAUAAUAUAUAAAUACAAAGAUCCAGUACAUAACUGCUGAUAGCUGAAAUUAGUUACCGUAGGGAUAACAGCGUUAUUUUUUCUGAGAGAUCUUAUCGAAGAAAAAGCUUGCGACCUCGAUGUUGGAUUGAGGUUACUUAAGGGCGCAGAAGUUCUUAUAAGUUAGUCUGUUCGACUAUAAAAAUCUCACAU